rnacentral:rRNA from 1 species
UACGUAGGGUGCGAGCGUUGUCCGGAAUUACUGGGCGUAAAGAGCUCGUAGGCGGUCUGUCGCGUCUGCUGUGAAAACUCAGGGCUUAACCCUGAGCUUGCAGUGGGUACGGGCAGACUAGAGUGCGGUAGGGGAGACUGGAAUUCCUGGUGUAGCGGUGAAAUGCGCAGAUAUCAGGAGGAACACCAGUAGCGAAGGCGGCUCGCUGGGCCAUACCUGACGCUGAGACGCGAAAGCGUGGGGAGCAAACAGG